rnacentral:rRNA from 1 species
UAACCUACCCUAUAGACGUGGAAUAACGUUACCGGGAAACCGGAGACUAAGUACCGGAAUAAUUACUUUAGAACCACAGUUAGGUUUAAGUUAGAAAGAGUGGUUUUUGCUAUCACUAUAGGAUGGACCCGCGGCGCAUUAGCUAGUUGGUGAGGUAACGGCUCACCAAGGCAACGAUGCAUAGCCGACCUGAGAGGGUGAUCGGCCACACUGGGACUGAGACACGGCCCAGACUCCGUACGGGAGCAGCAGUAGGAAUCUUCCACAAUGGACGAAGUCUGAUGGAGCAACGCCGCCGUGAGUGAAGAAGGAUUUCGGUUCGUAAAACUCUGUUGCAAGGGAAGAACAAGUAGCGUAGUAACUGGCGCUACCUUGACGGUACCUUGUUAGAAAGCCACGGCUAACUACGUGCCAGCCGCCGC